UUUGCUCCUCCCUGUAACUAAUAAGUUAGGUUGUAGUGAUUAUAAUUGUCUUAGGGUUUCAACAAUGAUUGAGAUCAAAGUAAUGGCAGCUUUAGUUGAUGGUUUUUUUAGUCUAAAUUAAUUCUGAUUGUUUUGAUUAUCAUGUUGGUUCUUGUUGUUGUUUGUUGCAGGUGAGAGAGGUGGGAGUGUUGUGAGAGGUGGGAGUGUUAUGAGAGUGAGAGGAGGUUGGAGAGGUGGGAGAGGUGGUAGUGUUGUGAGAGGUGGUAUUGUUGGUAGUCUUAGUAGAGGUUGGGGUGGUGUUGGGAGAAGGGUUGUGAGAGGUGAGAGAAGAGGUGGUGAUGAUACACCUUUUGAUCCUUAUUUAGAAGAGGAACCUUCAUUUGAAACGUAUUCUAUGGAUGAUAGUGAAGAAGAAGAAAUAUGUUCAAGUCGUAAAAUUCAUAGAGGGGUAAAGGAAAAGGGAAGGCCAAGGGGAAGGCUAAGAUGGUGAAGCCGAAGAGCGUGAUAAAAGACAUUAAUCCGAUUGUUUACACGGAUAAUUCUAAAAGUGUAGGCGGUAGGCUAAAGGAGGCUGGGAAAGUUAUCGAAACGUUCCAACAAUACGAGAAGAUUUCAAUGAAUGUGAAUUGCCCUCUUGAGACAUUUGGGAGGGUAUUAGGCAAAUUUGAUGAAACAAAGACUCGAAUAGUCAGAGAUAUGGGUUUUGGCACAUUAUUUUAUGCUAUUGGGAAGAGGUUACCUCGACAGUUGGCAUACUGGCUGUGUACUCGGGUAGAUGUUGAUAAGAAGUGCCUUCGCAUGACAGAUGGGAUAGUUAACCCUUUUUCUUCUAUUCAGGUGCAUUGGGUUCUGGGCAUACCUCACGGACGGAGACCGGUACCAACAAAGGUAGUUGAUCAGGAGGUAGAGGACAGUUUCUGGAUAAAGUACCGCACCAUUUACAAUUCUAGGACAGAAGGGAUAACAAGGAAGACUUUUAUUGAAGCUUUGGAGGCUCCAUGUACUGAUGAGGACAAGUUUCGGCAGCUUUUUGUGUUGCUGAUGUUGAAUACACUCUGUUCGACAACUUGUCAUCGCAUGAAGAAGAAACAUCUGCAUGCAGCUGCAGUUGCAAGCAGUGCUAAACUGUAUAACUGGUGCUCUCUCAUUUUGGCUGAGUUAUUACAUGCGAUGACAAGCUUUUCUAAAAGGUUUAAUAACAAUGGUUUUUCCCAUGGAAGUGGUGGGUGUACUUUAUUUCUGUCGACUGAACAAAAUUCCACUUGAGUGGAAUGAGUUUCCGAGGCUAAAAGUAUGGACUACAAAGGAGAUGAGCAAAGCUUGUAAAGAAGAUCCUUUCCCAACGGGUGACUUUGGAAAAAAGGGGGUAAUUGGAAUAUUUAUUUUAUUAAAUAGCUACAAUCUUAUAGUUGUAUAAAUUUAUUUUUUACUUAGGAUAGUCUCUAGACGUUUCGUAUGGUGGGGAUGCUGGUCACCCGUUGAAGGCAAAGGACUGUUUUCCAACUAAAAGGAAAAGAGACGAGGCGGAUGAAGUAGUAGCUGAUAUUGAUGAUGAGGAUUUGUCAUGGCUUACCAUAGAUAUGAAAACUAGAAGAACUCUAGUUAAAGAAGAGUAUGCCUUUCAAAGGAAGAAAAAGAAGCUAGGAGAAGUACUGAAUGAGGACCCUGAAGAAGAAGGGAGGAAGAAAAGGUCUGGACAAGAUGAGGUGAGUACAAAGAAGAAGAAGAAGAAAGCGGAAGAAGAAGAAGAAAGUAAGGAUGACAGCAAGAAAAAGAAGUCGGUAGGAAUGAACCGACAUUCUUUAGUUGCGAUGGUGACUAUGUCAAACUUACUUUAUGUGGCCAUUUGAUACAUAAUUUUGGGGAGUAUGUCAGGGUUGCGGGACGCGUUUAUAAAAAGGUGUGGGAGAGGCAAUUCCCCGGUCGUAGCAGGCGAUUUAUGACUGAUCCCGCAUUUGCAGUUACCACUUAUUCCUUCAUUACCUACUUUUGAUUUAUAGAUGUUUGUUUUGUAUGCCUAACACACUGACAUAUUGUAUUUUUAGAUGUUGGUUUUGCAAGCCCAUACCAAUACCAAAAAGGUCAAAGAACUGGUGAACCUAGAGGUCAUUAAGUUAGUAAAAAUUUACACUCUCUACAUGUACCCAACUGGGUCAACCAGAAUCAAUGUGGUAUGAGUUUGCAACUAUUUAUUUGGCUCUAAAUGUACUGUAUGUACUCUAUCAAAGGUCUACUUGUGUGUAUGACAAGUCCUUUUGGGUCACAGAUAUUUGUCCCAGUUCUUCAAGAACACCACUGGUGGUGCGCUGCGUUUUCAAUUAACAGACUGGAGGUCCUUAUUAUUGAUUCAAUUUUGACUACGAACGCGGCUUCUCGCAGAAAAUGCAAAUUAGACCACUUGGUGGGAAUAAAAUGCAUAUAAACUUAUGAAUUCUAGUCUGCAUCUAUUAAUUUUAGAAGUAAGUAAGUUAAAUAGUACUUCAUUUCAGGCUGCAACAAUGGAUCUUGCAUUUCAGAAUAUGGACAAAGAUUGGCGAACAUGAACCAUUUGUAAUUGGCUAAGGACAUCCCUCAAUAUGAAAUGUUAGGGAGACUUAAAUAGCUGUGGAAUCCAUAUGCUGAUUCCGAUUAAGCGCAACGCUGACAAGUUGUUAUCAGAGAUGGCCGAACUUCCCGAUAUGACAUUUGAGAGGUCCUCGGUUGUGUGUGAAGACCUCUUGUCAGAGUUUAAUGAAUCGUGGGAAGAUGUUAUGCAGCUCCUUCAACCUCCUGUCAAUUGAUUUUCAUUUGCUGAUCAAUGGUGGUUUGGUGUAUUUUUUGGGAAGUGAAAUUUGGGACUGAACAUGGUUGUUUACUAUUAAUAACUUUAAAACUUUAGCAAUUCGGAGUAAACUUUAUUGGGGAAAUGUGUAAGUAAUAUAACAACAACCUACAAGAACUAUAAGAUAUGAUUUGUUUUGCAAUUAAUAAUGAGGAAUGAUUUUGUUUUG